AGAGUUUGAUCCUGGCUCAGAACGAACGCUGGCGGCAGGCCUAACACAUGCAAGUCGAACGCUGUAGCAAUACAGAGUGGCAGACGGGUGAGUAACGCGUGGGAACCUACCCUUUGGUUCGGAAUAGCUCAGGGAAACUUGAGGUAAUACCGGAUACGCCCUUCGGGGGAAAGAUUUAUCGCCAAAGGAUGGGCCCGCGUCGGAUUAGCUAGUUGGUGGGGUAACGGCCUACCAAGGCGACGAUCCGUAGCUGGUCUGAGAGGAUGACCAGCCACACUGGGACUGAGACACGGCCCAGACUCCUACGGGAGGCAGCAGUGGGGAAUAUUGGACAAUGGGGGCAACCCUGAUCCAGCCAUGCCGCGUGAGUGACGAAGGCCUUCGGAUUGUAAAGCUCUUUUGGCGGGGAAGAUAAUGACGGUACCCGCAGAAUAAGCCCCGGCUAACUUCGUGCCAGCAGCCGCGGUAAU
rnacentral:rRNA from 1 species